AAGAAUUUAAAAGUCGAACAGACUUAAAAUUUGAACGGCUACACCCAAAAUUAUAUCUUAAUCCAACAUCGAGGUCGCAAUCUUUUUUAUCGAUAUGAACUCUCCAAAAAAAUUACGCUGUUAUCCCUAAAGUAACUUAAAUUUUUAAUCAUUAUUAAUGGAUCAAUUAUACAUAAAUUAAUGGUUUAAAAAAUUAAAAGUUUUUUAAAUUUUAAUAUCACCCCAAUAAAAUAUUUUAAUUUAUUAUAAUAAAAAUAAUCUUUAUAAUUAAAAUAAACAAAAUAUAAAGAUUUAUAGGGUCUUCUCGUCUUUUAAAUUUAUUUUAGCUUUUUGACUAAAAAAUAAAAUUCUAUAAAAAAUUUAAAUGAAACAGUUAAUAUUUCGUCCAACCAUUCAUUCCAGCCUUCAAUUAAAAGACUAAUGAUUAUGCUACCUUUGCACAGUUAGAAUACUGCGGCCAUUUAAAAUUUUCAGUGGGCAGGUUAGACUUUAAAUUUAAUUCAAAAAGAC
rnacentral:rRNA from 1 species